rnacentral:tRNA from 1 species
AGAGUAUAGCUCAAGUGGUAGAGUGCUUGCUUAGCAUGCAUGAGGUCUUGGGUUCAAUCCCCAGUAACUCUU